rnacentral:rRNA from 1 species
GGUGAACGUUGGCGGUGCGUCUAAUACAUGCAAGUCGAGCGAGGCUUCGAGCCGAGCGGCAGACGGCUGAGUCACACGGUGGUAACUACCCCAAACUCCUGGAUAACGCCGAGAAAUCGGGGCUAAUAACGGGUGGUCCCGUCACGGUAAAGUUUUUGCGGAUUGAGGGGGGUCUUCGUCCUAUCAGGUAGUUGGUGAGGUAACGUCUCACUAAGCGUAUGAUGGGUAACUGGUCUGCGAGGAUGACCAGUCAGAGGGUAACUGAGACACGGGUCCCACUUCUACGGCAGGGAGCAGUAAAGUAACCUAGACAAGGGACGAAAGUCAGAUGGAGCUACGCCGCGUGAAGGACGAAGGCCCGUGGGUCGUAAAAUGCUUUUUUGGGGGAAAAAUUCUGAUUGUACCCUAAGAAUAAGCACCGGCAAAUCACGUG